UACAACAUAGUGUUAAUGCAUUGGAUCCCAUUAGAAAUUCGUAGUUAAGUGCACUCAAGAUAUAGUAGUACUGGGAUGGGUGGCCGUUCGGGAAGUCAUAGUGUUUUAC
rnacentral:rRNA from 1 species